CUGUGAAGAUGCAGUGUACCCGCGGCAAGACGGAAAGACCCCGUGAACCUUUACUAUAGCUUGACACUGAACAUUGAGCCUUGAUGUGUAGGAUAGGUGGGAGGCUUUGAAGUGUGGACGCCAGUCUGCAUGGAGCCGACCUUGAAAUACCACCCUUUAAUGUUUGAUGUUCUAACGUGGACCCGUGAUCCGGGUUGCGGACAGUGUCUGGUGGGUAGUUUGACUGGGGCGGUCUCCUCCUAAAGAGUAACGGAGGAGCACGAAGGUUGGCUAAUCCUGGUCGGACAUCAGGAGGUUAGUGCAAUGGCAUAAGCCAGCUUGACUGCGAGCGUGACGGCGCGAGCAGGUGCGAAAGCAGGUCAUAGUGAUCCGGUGGUUCUGAAUGGAAGGGCCAUCGCUCAACGGAUAAAAGGUACUCCGGGGAUAACAGGCUGAUACCGCCCAAGAGUUCAUAUCGACGGCGGUGUUUGGCACCUCGAUGUCGGCUCAUCACAUCCUGGGGCUGAAGUAGGUCCCAAGGGUAUGGCUGUUCGCCAUUUAAAGUGGUACGCGAGCUGGGUUUAGAACGUCGUGAGACAGUUCGGUCCCUAUCUGCCGUGGGCGCUGGAGAACUGAGGGGGGCUGCUCCUAGUACGAGAGGACCGGAGUGGACGCAUCACUGGUGUUCGGGUUGUCAUGCCAAUGGCACUGCCCGGUAGCUAAAUGCGGAAGAGAUAAGUGCUGAAAGCAUCUAAGCACGAAACUUGCCCCGA
rnacentral:rRNA from 3 species